rnacentral:lncRNA from 10 species
AGUUGACGUUGGUCAGCACGGAGGCCACAGGAUCCCAGCCCGGCCUUUGUGGGACUGAGGUGGCGCUGAGUGGGAGAGCAGCAGGCGAUGCGCGAAAGGCGGGACUUGGAGAUAAAUACUGAGCACCCACAACAGGCAGCCAGCACCACUGCAGAUUGGAUACUGCAAUGAUGAUAAGCAUGGCCUGCCUUUAUGGAGGUUCUGGAUGUUCCUGUGGAUAACCUCAAGGAGCACGGGACCUGGGACAUGACUGCCCCCAGCAUUCCUUCUGGCGGCAGACAGAGUUUGUCAGUUCGCCAACAUCCUGCUUUCAUGAGAACAGUUUGCUGUUUGCUCACAGAGCCUCCAGUGGUAUACUGAGUUGGUCACGACCCUCAUUCCUUCGGCCUCCAACAUCUCCCCUUUUGUUUUUGCAUUAAUUGAAUAAAGAUGACGUCACUGAGGUAAGGGCGGGUUAAAGCCUGUCCUAUACCAAGCAAGUUGUGCAGCCAACUGGGGGACUGAAUCCCAGUGUGAUGUGAUGAAGAGGUGUUGAAGGUCCACCACCAGUGCCAGUGAAGUUUGUGCCAAGAGAUUCCGCUGGCUCAUGGCUCGUACUGGAGGUAACAGGCCCACGGUUGAAUACCAUGGAUCCCUCCGGUCUCCCGUUCCAUGGUCACACACACCUGGAGGGCACCCACACGGUUUGUCCAUCUCCUGUAAAAACACAAGCAUACCCUCGUCCCCACGUCAGCAAAUCCACCGGACCUUUCCAUUGUCCUUCUUCUGGGGAUUUCCAUAACACUUUUGGAUAAACUUGCCUCUUUUCCUCUAGCAGUUGCCAGUGUCGUUCUGCUGGGGUCUUGCCAUCCGUACCAGGAGUCAAACAAUUUAAAGUAAACAAGGCUAAAUGUAAUUUUGUUUGAAGUGGUAAUUGGUCCCCUAUUCUCCCUUUUUGUUUUUUCAGCAUGCGUUGUAGUGUUUGAUGUACCCGCUCAAUAAUGCCUGGCCCUCAGGGAUUGUAUGGAAUUCCUGUUUUAUGAUUGAUUGCCCACAAUUGUAAAAAAUUGGGAAAGCAUGACUAACAUAAGCGAGUCCACUGUCAGUUUUAAAUUGUUUAGGGACCCCCAUAUGGGCAAAUGACGACAGACAGUAUCGUCAGACAUGACCAGCUGUUUCCCCAGUUUGGCAUGUGGCAUGUAACAUAUGGGAGUAAGUGUCUAUAUUACAUGAACAUAGCGGAGUUAGCCAAAGGCUGCUAUAUAUAUGUAACAUCCAUCUGCCAGAUUUCAUUUGGAGCCAAGCCUCGUGGGUUGCAUCCUUCCACAGGUGCAACACCAGGGACAUGCUGGCAAGUGGGGCAGGCUUGCACAAUAACUCAAGCCUGGCUGCGAGGCAGAUGAAACAUACGAGUAAGGGCAAGUUGUUCUGAUGCAGUAAAGCAUGGGAAGCUUGGGCUUGUUGAAAUAUAGAACUGAUGAAUUUAUCUGCUCUAUCAUUACCUAGAGAUAGUGGCCCCAGGAAGUUGUGUGUGAGAUCGGAUAUGAGAAAUAUGAAAAGGGGCAGCAUGAGAGCGAACAGCUUUUUGGAGUCUCAGAAAUAGGUUAAGCAGUUCUGGUUUUAAGGUGCUCUUGUGUGGGCGGCAAGCCAUCCAGGCGCCGAAGCAAGAGACAGAGGACACGGGCUGUUCCAGUAUAAUAAAAUAUAAAACAAGAAUAGUUAUACCAGAUAUAGAUCUUAGAUAUGAUUAUAUAUGAAUAUCAUUAAUCAUUAGUUUGUAGCAAUUACUUUUUAUUCCAAUAUUACAAUAAUCCUUGCUCUAUAAUCAUAGCCUAGGAAAAACCAGGCCAUACAGAGAUAGGAGCUGAGGGGACAUAGUGAGGUGUGACCAGAAGACAAGAGUGCGAGCCUUCUGUUAUGCCCAGACAGGGCCACCAGAGGGCUCCUUGGUCUAGUGGUGACGCCAGCGUUUGGGAAGACCGUGGUCUAGCGGUAGCGAAAAGUGUCAAGGAACAACACCCGCUACUUAGCAGACCGGGAAAGGGUGGGGGGCGGUCUCCCUUUCCCUGGGGGAGGUUAGAGAAGACUCUGCUCCUCCACCUCUUGUGGAGGGCCUGACAUUAGUCAGGCUCGCCCACAGUUAUCCGGAGGCCUAACCGUCUCCCUGUGAUUCUGUGCUUCAGUGGUCACGCUCCUAGUCCGCCUUCAUGUUCCAUCCUGUACACCUGGCUCUGCCUUCUAGAUAGCAGUAGUAAAUUAGUGAAAGUACUAAUAGUCCCUGAUAUGCAGAAAUAAUGGCGUAAGCUGUCUUUCUCUCUGUCUCCUCUCCCUCUCUGCCUCGGCUGCCAGGCAGGGAAGGGCCCCCUGACCAGUGGACACAUGACCCACGUGACCUUACCUAUCAUUGGAGAUGACUCACACUCUUUACCCUGCC